rnacentral:rRNA from 1 species
UACGGAGGGGGCUAGCGUUAUUCGGAAUUACUGGGCGUAAAGCGCACGUAGGCGGCUUUGUAAGUUAGAGGUGAAAGCCCGGAGCUCAACUCCGGAACUGCCUUUAAGACUGCAUCGCUCGAAUCCGGGAGAGGUGAGUGGAAUUCCGAGUGUAGAGGUGAAAUUCGUAGAUAUUCGGAAGAACACCAGUGGCGAAGGCGGCUCACUGGACCGGCAUUGACGCUGAGGUGCGAAAGCGUGGGGAGCAAACAGG